GGCGGUGUAGCUUAGUUGGCUAGAGCGUUCGGUUCAUACCCGAAAGGUCGGAGGUUCGACUCCUCUCGCCGCUACCA
rnacentral:tRNA from 2 species